GAUGAACGCUAGCUACAGGCUUAACACAUGCAAGUCGAGGGGCAGCGGGAUUGAAGCUUGCUUCAAUUGCCGGCGACCGGCGCACGGGUGAGUAACGCGUAUCCAACCUUCCGUACACUCAGGGAUAGCCUUUCGAAAGAAAGAUUAAUACCUGAUGGUAUGAUGAGAUUGCAUGAUAUCAUCAUUAAAGAUUUAUCGGUGUACGAUGGGGAUGCGUUCCAUUAGGUAGUAGGCGGGGUAACGGCCCACCUAGCCAACGAUGGAUAGGGGUUCUGAGAGGAAGGUCCCCCACAUUGGAACUGAGACACGGUCCAAACUCCUACGGGAGGCAGCAGUGGGGAAUAUUGGUCAAUGGACGAGAGUCUGAACCAGCCAAGUAGCGUGAAGGAUGAAGGUCCUACGGAUUGUAAACUUCUUUUAUAAGGGAAUAAACCCUCCCACGUGUGGGAGCUUGUAUGUACCUUAUGAAUAAGCAUCGGCUAACUCCGUG
rnacentral:rRNA from 1 species